rnacentral:rRNA from 1 species
CCUACGGGAGGCAGCAGUGGGGAAUAUUGCGCAAUGGGCGAAAGCCUGACGCAGCGACGCCGCGUGAGGGAUGAAGGUCUUCGGAUCGUAAACCUCUGUCAGCAGGGAAGAACGGUCACUGUGCUAAUCAGCAGUGAAUUGACGGUACCUGCAAAGGAAGCACCGGCUAAAUCCGUGCCAGCAGCCGCGGUAAUACGGAGGGUGCGAGCGUUAAUCGGAAUUACUGGGCGUAAAGCGCUCGUAGGCGGUAUGUCAAGUCAAGUGUGAAAUCCCCGCGCUCAACGUGGGAACUGCCGUUGAAACUGGCAAACUGGAGUGUGUGAGAGGAUGGUGGAAUUCCAGGUGUAGGAGUGAAAUCCGUAGAUAUCUGGAGGAACAUCAGUGGCGAAGGCGACUAUCUGGAACAUAACUGACGCUGAGGAGCGAAAGCGUGGGUAGCAAACAGGAUUAGAUACCCGUGUAGUC